rnacentral:rRNA from 1 species
GACGAACGCUGGCGGCGUGCUUAACACAUGCAAGUCGAACGGAAAGGCCCCUUUGGGGGUACUCGAGAGGCGAACGGGUGAGUAACACGUGAGUAACCUGCCCUUGACUUCGGGAUAACUUCAGGAAACUGGGGCUAAUACCGGAUAGGAAUCCUUGCUGCAUGGUGGGGGUUGGAAAGCUUCGGCGGUUUUGGAUGGACUCGCGGCUUAUCAGCUUGUUGGUGGGGUAGUGGCUUACCAAGGCUUUGACGGGUAGCCGGCCUGAGAGGGCGACCGGCCACAUUGGGACUGAGAUACGGCCCAGACUCCUACGGGAGGCAGCAGUGGGGAAUAUUGCACAAUGGGCGGAAGCCUGAUGCAGCAACGCCGCGUGCGGGAUGACGGCCUUCGGGUUGUAAACCGCUUUCAGCAGGGGCGAAGCUUGUGGUGACGGUACCUGCAGAAGAAGCACCGGCUAACUACGUG